CAUCCAAAAGAUUUUGUUACUGUGGCUACAAAAAAUUCGGAUCGGAUUUGUCGGAUUGGUCGAGGUAUUGUGCCAUUAGUAUUAUUAAUGCAUAUAAUAGGAUUCCUAGGAGGACUUUUGCAUUUCCCUCUGUAAAAUCACACAAAAUACAUACUUUAGACGUCAUUUGAUGAAAAAGGAGAUUACAACAGAAGUCACCCGUGUUGACAAAUGCAUAUUACAACAAUGUGCCACUGGCUGUAAUAACGCCACGUCUAUUGCGCCAUCUGGACCACGAGAAGUGCGGCAGCCAAAAGAGGCCAACGGCAGCAUCGAAACAAAGCAAUCGGGCGAAAGGUUCACAGAGAUACAAAUUCUGGUUGUAGGAUGAUGGACAUAUGUUGCAAACAAUAUUGUUGCAAAUAAUAUUGGAUACUUGGCCUACUGUGCUGCGGUCAGGCAACUUUGUGGUGGCCACUUGAGCUCCGAGCUGGCAGACUAGUGUGCCCGGCGUGAUAAGGCCAACAGAGCGGUCAAAUAUGGCGCUAGCAUUAUUACCCACGGCCGAAGGAUGUCUGUGUUUGCUGGUCAGAAUCGGAUUGAGCGUGUGAAUGCGGCAAGGCAAGCAUAUAUGUAUGUAUAUACCUAUAUGGACUUACGGGAGUGGGAUGUCCUACUGGCCUUUUGUUUUGGAAGAAAUUUAAUAAAGGAACCAAGGCCG
rnacentral:misc_RNA from 1 species